AUCUAAAAAAUACUAAAAAUAUAUUUUAAGUAUAUUUAUUCUAUUAUAGCUUAUAUCCCGAAAAAGCAAGAUAAUUUUAAAUGUUUGUUAGGGAUAAGUCUAACUUCUAUUUGCAACCUUAUUAAAAAAAUAAUAAUAUCUAAAACUUCUCUGAAAAAUCUAUAAAUUGUCGUAGAAUCAUUUUGUGAAUGUAUAAUUCUGACAUAAAAAUUCAUAAAAUUUUAUGAAACUUGAAGUAUAUAUAGUUCAUAAUGGAUACAUCUCUCACAUAGUAUCUUGUAAUUCAAGUCAAAACUUUGAGUUUGUGAAACUCGUUAUACUUUCGAACUCGUAUGCAUCUCAAAUUUGAACAAAACCUUAUUUUCACCAUAACAUUAGAAAAUAUGAGGUUACAUCACUAAUGGUUAUGCAAAAAUAUAUUUUUUGUUUUCUCUACUUGGAUGGAAGAAAACAAGCCAUAUGUACAAGUUCCAAGAAAUAGAAAUUAACAUAAAAACAAAUAGCACUAAAUGAAAGAUCAUGAUUUUAGAAGAAAGUAGAAAAAAGAACCAUCAAAUUUAAAGUUCAUAUGAGGGAGUAAUACCAGUUACAAAUUUUAAUUCCGGAUUAAAAAGUGAAAGAUAAAGCGUACAUCUGUUCUUCGGUGCUGGGUCAUAUACUCAUAUUAUGAUGAUAAAAAGUCUAAAAAAUUUAUUUCCAGAUCUCAUCACAAACCAGUAUUUGAUGCAGUGGUAGGCCGUGUCCACCUCUAGCAUGAGGUUUGCUGUUCCAUUCCCCAUGGUCAACUGGUUUUGUUAAAAAAUACAAAAAAUACACGUAUGAUUACAAAAAAAGCAAUAUCAAACUUUAUCCCAUGAGGGUGCGCAGCGCAGUGGUAAGUGACGCAGACGCUAGUCCUUAGAACUGGGUUCGAUUCCCAGCUCUCCGCAUCCCCAUUUUAACUUUGUUUUUGCUGAAUUUGCUUAGCUGCUGAGGACCUCGCAGGACUUUUUAGCUCGGAGCCCAUAAAUGACGCUGCGACGGCCCAUUUGAUGCACACGUGACCACAAUGUUUUUUCUCCUUUUUUCAUUUCAACAUCGUUCCUAUUUAUACUUUUCUACUUUCGUCUCCAUGUUACGUUUCUUUGAGUCAGUUUCAAUAUUCUAAUGCAAACAAAAUAUUUAGCAACUUAGAUUUAUAUGUGAACCAGAUAUCUGUUACUAAUAAAUAACACAAUGCAUGGUGCAGUUGUAGGGCAUUUUAUUGUUGAAACCCAAGACCAGGUUCAACACCCCCCCUGGUGCAUUUUUUUAUUUUUUUCAUAUGGGAACAUGAUAAUUUUUAAUUUAUGUUCGCGACGGGUUUGUAUAAACAUUGCAGUGUUUUGGGCCGGACCGUGACAGAAUUGAUAAUCCGUCGCGGUUUUCUGGGCUUAAUAUCCAUAAGAGCAAAUCCCUAACGUUUUCUAAAACUGUCGCCAUAGUUCCGUCACAGAAUAAAUAGUAUGUUGUAGUGGAAUUCAACCUCUGUAGCGUCGGAAGCAUCCUGCCUUCAAGUAUGAAGGUGUGAAAGAUCCUACUAGAUUUACUCCAGAGGCAAUGUCUCGUGUUGAGGUAAUCAGAAGGUGCUGCAAAGUACUCGACCACUUCGACAACUCUUUGGCGUUACCAGCACUCUUCUCGGCAGUCAAUCCACCCGAGAAUACCUGGAAGAAUUAUAAGACAUGGUACUGCAUGCCUCCGUCUUCAGAUGAUGCCGCCCAUUCUGGUGGCAAUAAAAAGCGUAAAGCAGCUCCUGGAUCUCUGUUGCAGAGGAAAGCAUACCGACCCAACAGUGGCCAGAUCCAAUAUCUUCCUGCGCACGAGAAAGAUCAAAUCCAAGACGUCCGUAACUGGGUGCAGAGCGACCCAGAGUCAACUAGUCGAUCAGCCCCCCGAGUCACCAAUAAUCGGGCUGAUCGAGAACUCUGAUGCUGCUGUUUUUCAAGAUGCAGGCACAUUGGGGACAUCAAAGGAUUCUGCUCCAGAAGCAAAGAAAUCUUCCCCAUCUGCUAAUACUGGUGGUGGUGUGGCUGGAGGAUCAGAAAAUCCUACUGUACAAGUAGUACCCUUCCAGUCUCUACCGCAGUCUGCUCAGGAGGAGUUGGGAAAAGAUCUCUUUGACGACCCACUGCUGUCUGUGGAAAAUGUGAAGAAGCUUGCAGACUGUAUGCAAUGGAGCUUCAAAUAUACCAAGGAUGUUGCCAAUCAGUCCUUCUUGAAGUCUCAAGCUCUGUAUUAGACCGUUGACAAUCAAAAACCUUGGCUAAGCAAAAUGUAGAAAUUGCCAAGCGUCUUGAUGAGGCUCUCGCUGCACGGAACAAGCUUUAUGAAGCUAACCGUGGACAUACGCGAUAGCUUUAUAAGAUGAAACAACAAAUCAAGAGCGUUGAAGAAGAGAAAACCAAGUUCCAAGAACAACUGCAAACUGCCCAAGCCUGUAAGUACUUGAAUCUUCACUUGAUAGUACUUUGCAUAUUCACUGAAAUAUCCUUGUAUCAGGUUCUUCAAGUGAUCAAGCUCUACUAGUAGCUGCAGCUCAAGUCAUUGUGGACAUGGUAGAUUCUGAAGGGGAAACGUCGAGUAGUAAAUGUCUGGUGGAGCGCUUAGAAGAAGCUCCCAAAAAGUUUUGACUUCAUGACGGCAACCUCCAAGAAUUAUCUUACACAUAUGCUUGGGAUUGUAAAGUCUUACUGGCCUCAGCAUAACUUAGCUCCCAUAGAUAAGGGAAUAGCCGCUGAUUGCUCUGAAGAAUCUUUUCAGGGCUAUUGUAAAGACACAUAGGCUAUUGCUGAGGAGAUCUUGAAGAACUUGUAGGAAUAUGGGGUAGCAAAAACAAAAAAUUUCUACCGCAUAA